UCUUCCAAAAUGAGGCAGAUCGACAUGCAGCACUCUUUGGCCUUAUAUUAUAUUAUCUUUAAUUUGCCUUAUUCUAUUGGUCAGGUCACUGUGAUGGUCAGCCAGUCUCCUUCCAAUGUGAUAGUGAAACAGAACCAGUCUGUUAAUUUAAAAUGUUACCAGAGCUCCUCUAAUAAUAACAUGUACUGGUAUCGACAGCAGAGCACAACUGAACUUCAUCUGGUGGUGUUCUCAUUAUUUAUGAACAAUCCAGAAUAUGGAAAUAACAUACCUACGAGAUUCACAGCAACAAGAUCAACAAAAGAGAACAUCACACUUGAAAUGAACAAUGCUGAGACAUCUGACACAGGAUUUUAUUUGUGUGCAGCAAGUAACACAGUGAAGUAAUGAAGUAUUUCUGCAAAGUACAAACUUUCAUGGUUUUAUAUGUAGACUGAACCUAAAAGAAACCACAAAUGCAAAACAU